CAGUAGCCACGGGAAUACGUAGGGUGCAAGCGUUAAUCGGAAUUACUGGGCGUAAAGCGUGCGCAGGCGGUUUGUUAAGACAGAUGUGAAAUCCCCGGGCUUAACCUGGGAACUGCAUUUGUGACUGGCAAGCUAGAGUCUGGCAGAGGGGGGUGGAGUUCCGCGUGUAGCAGUGAAAUGCGUAGAUAUGCGGAGGAACACCGAUGGCGAAGGCAGCCCCCUGGGCCAACACUGACGCUCAUGCACGAAAGCGUGGGGAGCAAACAGGAUUAGAUACCCGCGUAGUCCCUGUCUCUUAUAC
rnacentral:rRNA from 1 species